AUCUACUGCCAUACCACCCUGACCGUGCCCAAUCCUGUCUGAUCUCAGAAGCUAAGCAGGGUCGGGCCUGGUUAGUACUUGGAUGGGAGAAGACACCUAACUGGCCUAACAAAUUAGGUAUACAAGUUU
ensembl:rRNA 5S_rRNA 5S ribosomal RNA